rnacentral:ncRNA from 12 species
GGGUGUCGCGGGGGUGGUCCCGCGACAGGAUCGUUUGGUUGGUCGGGCCGCCAGCC